rnacentral:rRNA from 1 species
GACGAACGCUGGCGGCGUGCUUAACGCAUGCAAGUCGAACGGAAAGGCCUGCUUUCCCUUGUGGAUUGCGGGUACUCGCGUGGCGAACGGGUGAGUAACACGUGAGUGAUCUGCCCCCAACUUGGGUAUAAGCCUGGGAAACUGGGUCUAAUUCCCGAUAGGACUGCAGGGUGGUGCCUGUGGUGGAAAACGAUUUUCUAGUGGUUGGGGAUGAGCUCGCGGCCUAUCAGCUUGUUGGUGGGGUAAUGGCCUACCAAGGCGGCGACGGGUAGCCGGCCUGAGAGGGUGGACGGCCACAUUGGGACUGAGAUACGGCCCAGACUCCUACGGGAGGCAGCAGUGGGGAAUAUUGCACAAUGGGCGGAAGCCUGAUGCAGCGACGCCGCGUGGGGGAUGACGGCCUUCGGGUUGUAAACUCCUUUCGACCGCGAGGAAGCCACCUGGUUGGAAGGGUGGUGACGGUAGUGGUAGAAGAAGCACCGGCUAACUACGUG